CAUGUGCACGGGGGGCAUUCAGAUCGGUAACAAAACCCGCGGUAUCGUUUAUGAAUUCACUGGUAUACGCGAUAUAUCCGCAGGACGUGUGAAAGCUUCUUUUUUUUUUUCCCCCGCGAGCGUGCCGAGUAUAUCGGAACGGCACACGUCUGAAAUC